UUCAUAUGUACAUGUGUGUACAUUUGAAUUUGAGACGCAGUAACAGAGAGAACAAAAAACUCGUUAAACUCUAUAAAUCGUGAUAAACACUCACGUCUGAAUGCACCCAUAGUCAACGAAUUCGCUCGCUUCGCCUGAUAGAUACAGUACUCAUCUAACGUUCGCGAAAUGAAUCAGAAUAUUCUCGGGUGUUAUAGAAAUCGACACAGAAUUGCUUGUUUAUCCGAGUUGAAAAUCAAUAUCUGUGUGGAAACCGACUUGAUUUUACUUUUUUUUUCGAAGAUAAGAGAAACCGAUAUUCGAAUCAGCUGUCAUCACACUGUGCAAAUAACACCCAGCAAUUCAAUUUAAUUUUUGUAGCACACAUUCGUGCUGAUUAACUAAAUUAACUAAAAAAUAAAAUAAAUUCGGAAGUGUUAGAAUUUUUGAUGAUAAAAGGAUUUGGAGAAACCAUACAGAAAAUAAAGCGCAUAGUUGUAAGGGAUAAGAGCAAUCCGCUGGAGCUGCCAGAGUCGAUAUUCACACACAAAUAUCGUCUUAACUAAGAAGUCUUUGUAAUUGUGCUGGAUGUUAUUGAAGGCUAACUUGCCGCCACACUGCGGUUUUUGGCAGAAGGCUCCCAUUAACGAUCUGUAACAGAAAAGCUUUUGAACAUUUCAAUUGCCCAGGCGGAAUAACGUUAGGAAUGAUCGACAAUGGAAAACGCUGAGCUCGUGAUCAUUUCUACAUCAAGUACCGUAUUCCAGGCAUUGCUGAUUGUAAUAUUUCGAUGCAAGGGAUUUGUUGC